rnacentral:rRNA from 1 species
UACGGCGAGCGAAAAGGGAGGAGCCCAGCGCCGAAUCCCCGGCCCACGGUCGCGGGAAAUGUGGCGUUUAGGAGUGAGCGUGCCGGGUUCGACGGCGGCGGCAAGUCCCCCUGACCGGGGCCUGUCCGUAGCGGGUGCGAGGCCCAUAGCCGCCGCCUUCGUCUCGGAUGCGAUCUCCUUGGAGUCGGGUUGCUUGGGAGUGCAGCCCCAAUCGGGUGGUAAACUCCACCUAAGGCUAAAUACCGCCGUGAGACCGAUAGCAAACAAGUACCGUGAGGGAAAGUUGCAAAGAACUUUGAAGAGAGAGUUCAAGAGUACGUGAAACUGCUCAGAGGUAAACGGGUGGGCCCUCGAAAUCCUGUGGCGAGAGGAUUCAGUCUGGCGGGGCGGACGCGUAUUCGGAAGACCGAGCAGGGCUUCCCUUUCGACGGGGCCGUCCGAUAACGCGCCUUCCGCCUUUCCAGACGCAUUUGUCUCUCGUCCGAAGGACGCUGCAGCCGGUCUGGCAGUGCAAGCGCGACGGCCUGAAGGUCGGGAAACGGCAGGUGGCCGGCGGCUCGCCUCGUGCGGGCUGUCGGUUGUUAGCCAUCCCGUCGGUGGCCCGUCGCCAGACCGAGGUGUCGCGAGUCCCUCCCCGGGACUCCUCGUCUCCACCCCCGCGGUCGCGGGACUGGACGCGGCAAGGGAUACCGUGCCCACCGCCGUCGCACUCUUAC